ensembl:lncRNA
UGCACUCACUGGAUACAACACAAGACUUUCCUAGUGACAAAUCCACCAGGGACUUCGUCAGCUUGUUCUCUAAGCCCUUAGCAGUAUUCCGUAUGUUCCAAGCUCUCUGGACAGGACCUUGUUAGCUAUCCCACCAGUUACAGUCGCUCAAAAAAAACGGCUUUCUGGGCGGAGGUGGAGCACGCUUUAGUCACUACACUCGGGAAGCAGAGGAAUUCGGAGCUCCUUGAGCUGGAGGACCAACCUGGUCUACAAGGCGCGUCCCAGACCAGUGAGGGCUACACAGUGAGACCUGUCUCAACAACAGAACAGGACGAUUAUUUUCUAAAAGAGACAAACAUGGAAGAGGCAGGAAGAGAGGGAGUGGAAAGGGAAUGUGGAGGUUAAGGAGCACUACAGAGGUCCUGCUCCCCGCUGGGAUCCAUCAGGCUUCCUGCUGUGAGUGAGCUGGAGACCAAGACACUGCAGCCCGCGCCCUUCUCCUCUGCGUUAGAUCCAGAAUCCCACCUCCUUCACCUCCACCUAAAUCCCUCCCGGCUGACCCGCGUCCAGGGUCUGAAAACCAAGAGACUCCUGAGGUCCAUUCGCCUUGAUCUCACCCUGAGCACAGCCGCGGACGCCUUGAUCUCACCCUGAGCACAGCCGCGGACGCCUUGAUCUCACCCUGAGCACAGCCGCGGACGCCUUGAUCUCACCCUGAGCACAGCCGCGGACGCCUUGAUCUCACCCUGAGCACAGCCGCGGAGCAGGCUGACUGGAGCCCACGGUUCCCACUCGCUCCUCCUCCCUGAGCGCCAGUACCGCACCCGGACCCCUCAGCUUUUCCAGCGAUCGCAGACCAGGCAGAGAGCGGCUCCAAGGCUCCAGUCCACAGCCCCACCCCAGCCCCAAACCAGGCCUUCACGCGUGAGUACCCUGGAUCUGCGAAGGCCUAGACCCGAAAACUCCCGCGGUUUCCUUCGCCGAGUCCUGUUGGGGGUCCCGGUCGCGCCGCUGUCGUCGUGGAGCCCCUGGCAGCUCGGUGAGUCCCCUGUGGUGUCUCAACGCUUAGGAGGAAGCGAGGGGCGCAUCACGUCUGCGAGACUAGUUAUCAUUGGAUCCUUAGUUACAGUUUCUUCCUAAAUAGAGUUAUUCCUGGCUGACAUCCGGAGUUUGUGUUGAAUCGCUGAGCAGUUUUUUCGUUUUUGUUUUGGUUUAUUUGUUUUGGUUUUGGUUUUGGUCUCCCUGUAACCCUGGCUGGCUUAGAACUCACCAUGCUGACCAGGUUAACUGAGAACCAGACAGCCUCCUCUUGGGCUUCUCCGCUGGCAUCAAAGCUUUGGGUGCGCCACCACGCCCCACCACUUCCUCAUCAUUCUCUUAAAAACAAUUCUAUGGAAGAGAACACAGAAUGGAGACAGAAGAGGCAAAAGAAAUGGAAAUAGAAAGGAAAAGCGAAGGAACGCAACCGGGGGUGCGGUGACAAGACCCUGUCUUUAAAAAGAAAGAAAACAAAAAUCUUAAAGGAAGAGUCCGGGAAACGCGGUCACAAACGUAGAGGCGGUUUCCACCUGCAGCUUCCCACUAUCCCGGAAAUCUACAUGGCUUCCCGCUAUGAGUGAGCUGGAGACCAAGACGCAGCAGCCCGCGCCCUUCUCCUCUGCGUUAGAUCCAGAAUCCCACCUCCUUCACCUCCACCUAAAUCCCUCCCGGCUGACCCGCGUCCAGGGUCUGAAAACCAAGAGAGUCUUCCUCCUGAGGUCCAUUCGCCUUGAUCUCACCCUGAGCACAGCCGCGGAGCAGGCUGACUGGAGCCCACGAAUCCAGGACCGGCAGCCCAGAGAUGGCACCACCCACAAAGGACUGGACCCUCCUCCAUCAAUCACUAAUUAAGAAAAUGCCAUACAGGUUUGUCUACAACCCAAUCUUAUGGAAGCAUUUUCUUAAUUGAAGUUUCCUCCUCUCAGAUGACUAUAGCUUGUGUCAUUGACAUAAAAUUACCUAGCACAGAGGCUCUGAAGAUGAUUAUAAUUAGUUUGCCAUCCUAAUGGCAUCAGCUGCUCUCACACCCUGGUCUUUUUGGUGGCCUUUUGAUUUAGUGGCUACUGCUUCUGCCUCCUCCUCUUCCUCCUCCCUUUCUCUUUCUCGACAGUAUCCCAGACUCCCUGGCACUCAAUAUGUACCUGGGGAUGACUUUCAACCCCUAAUCCUAUUGCCUCUUACCUUCCAAGUGCUGGGGUUACAGGUGUGUGUUACUACACCCGACUCUGCACUGGAGUAUUGGGUCAAUCUUAACUCUACAUUAAUGUCACAGUUCGCAACUGCCCUCACCACCCAACUGAAUCACAGACGCGUGCACUCGGUGCCGCUGCUAACGCAACGGGGAGAAAUCACUACUGCAGAACUGGUGGUUCCGAAACCCCGGAAUCUAGCAGAGACCAGUUCCCGCUCGGUGCUUACCUAUGCCCAGCGUGGCGGGCAGCUUGCCUACGCGGGUCGGGAGAGCAGGGCAGGACCAGGCGAUUUGGAACUGAGGCUGAGCCAACAGCACCAGCACAACAAAGUUGUCGCUGGGCUCGUGGCUCGCCGUGAUCGUAUAGUGGUUAGUACUCUGC